GUGUUCCACGCUGUCGGUUCGCCGCCCGUCGGUGUUAACUGGCAUGUCCUGUGGAACGUCCUGCCGGUGGCGGUCCGGGCGCUCGGCCUUGCGUAAGGGCUCACUGCCCCGAAGCGGGUCGAGCAGUUCCGGCCGCCGGUCCAAUCCCGCCACGGUGCUCUUCACCGAGUGUCGAGGUGGGCCGGCACGUUUACUUUGAACAAAUUAGAGUGCUUAAAGCAGGCUGGUGUCCGCCUGAAUACUGUGUGCAUGGAAUAAUGGAAUAGGACCUCGGUUCUAUUUUGUUGGUUUUCGGAACCCGAGGUAAUGAUUAAUAGGGACAGGCGGGGGCAUUCGUAUUGCGACGUUAGAGGUGAAAUUCUUGGAUCGUCGCAAGACGAACCUAAGCGAAAGCAUUUGCCAAGUAUGUUCUCGUUAAUCAAGAACGAAAGUUAGAGGUUCGAAGGCGAUCAGAUACCGCCCUAGUUCUAACCAUAAACGAUGCCAGCCAGCGAUCCGCCGAAGUUCCUCCGAUGACUCGGCGGGCAGCUUCCGGGAAACCAAAGCUUUUGGGUUCCGGGGGAAGUAUGGUUGCAAAGCUGAAACUUAAAGGAAUUGACGGAAGGGCACCACCAGGAGUGGAGCCUGCGGCUUAAUUUGACUCAACACGGGAAACCUCACCAGGCCCGGACACCGGAAGGAUUGACAGAUUGAGAGCUCUUUCUUGAUUCGGUGGGUGGUGGUGCAUGGCCGUUCUUAGUUGGUGGAGCGAUUUGUCUGGUUAAUUCCGAUAACGAACGAGACUCUAGCCUGCUAACUAGGCGAUUUCCGGUACCCACAAUAGUGUUACCGGCGAUUCAAUUUCUUCUUAGAGGGACAGGCGGCUCCUAGCCGCACGAGACUGAGCAAUAACAGGUCUGUGAUGCCCUUAGAUGUCCUGGGCCGCACGCGCGCUACACUGAAGGAAUCAGCGUGUCUUCCCUGGCCGACAGGCCCGGGUAACCCGUUGAACCUCCUUCGUGCUAGGGAUUGGGGCUUGCAAUUGUUCCCCAUGAACGAGGAAUUCCCAGUAAGCGCGAGUCAUAAGCUCGCGUUGAUUACGUCCCUGCCCUUUGUACACACCGCCCGUCGCUACUACUAAUUGAAUGAUUUAGUGAGGUCUUCGGACUGGUGCGCGGCGAUCGGUUCUACCGGUCGCCGAUGUUGCCGGAAAGAUGACCAAACUUGAUCAUUUAGAGGAAGUAAAAGU
rnacentral:rRNA from 1 species